CCCUAGUAACGGCGAGUGAAGCGGCAACAGCUCAAAUUUGAAAUCUGGCCCUUGGGUCCGAAUUGUAAUUUGUAGAGGAUGUUUUUGGUGCGGUAUCUUCCGAGUUCCUUGGAACAGGACGCCUUAGAGGGUGAGAGCCCCGUACGGUUGAAUGCCUAGCCUUUGUAAAACUCCUUCGACGAGUCGAGUAGUUUGGGAAUGCUGCUCUAAAUGGGAGGUAAAUUUCUUCUAAAGCUAAAUACCGGCCAGAGACCGAUAGCGCACAAGUAGAGUGAUCGAAAGAUGAAAAGCACUUUGAAAAGAGGGUUAAAUAGCACGUGAAAUUGUUGAAAGGGAAGGAUUUAUGACCAGACUUUUCCUAGGCGAAUCAUCCGGUGUUCUCACCGGUGCACUUCGUUUAGUUUAGGCCAGCAUCGAUUUUCGGGGCGGGAUAAAAGCUUCAGGAAUGUGGCUCCCUCGGGAGUGUUAUAGCCUGUUGUAUAAUACCGCCCUGGGGAUCGAGGUACGCGCUUCUGCAAGGAUGCUGGCGU
rnacentral:rRNA from 1 species